GAUGAACGCUGGCGGCGUGCCUAAUACAUGCAAGUCGAGCGAACAGACGAGGAGCUUGCUCCUCUGACGUUAGCGGCGGACGGGUGAUUAACACGUGGAUAACCUACCUAUAAGACUGGGAUAACUUCGGGAAACCGGAGCUAAUACCGGAUAAUAUAUUGAACCGCAUGGUUCAAUAGUUAAAGACGGUUUUGCUGUCACUUAUAGAUGGAUCCGCGCCGCAUUAGCUAGUUGGUAAGGUAACGGCUUACCAAGGCGACGAUUCGUAGCCGACCUGAGAGGGUGAACGGCCAGACUGGAACUGAGACACGGUACAGACUCCGAAGGGAGGCAGCAGUAGGGAAUCUUCCGCAAUGGGCGAAAGCCUGAUGGAGCAAAGCCGCGUGAGUGAUGAAGGUCUUCGGAUCGUAAAACUCUGUUAUUAGGGAAGAACAAAUGUGUAAGUAACUAUGAACGUCUUGACGGUACCUAAUCAGAAAGCCACGGCUAACUACGUG
rnacentral:rRNA from 1 species